UACAGAGGUCCCAAGCGUUGUUCGGAUUCACUGGGCGUAAAGGGUGCGUAGGCGGUCAGGCAAGUCUGGUGUGAAAGCUUCGAGCUCAACUCGGAAAAUGCAUCGGAAACUGCUUGGCUAGAGGUGUGGAGGGGGGAUUGGAAUUCUCGGUGUAGCAGUGAAAUGCGUAGAUAUCGAGAGGAACACCCGUGGCGAAGGCAAAUCCCUGGACACAUCCUGACGCUGAGGCACGAAAGCUAGGGGAGCAAACAGG
rnacentral:rRNA from 1 species